GCUCAUUAACACGUGGUUAACAUACCCUCAGGUGGGGGGUAACCUUGGGAAACUGAGGAUAAUACCCCAUAGAAAAAGCAGUCUGGAACGAUUCUUUUUCGAAAGCAUAUGCGCCUGAGGAUUGGACUGCGCUCGAUUAGGUAGUUGGUGGGGUAAUGGCCUACCAAGCCUACGAUCGGUACGGGCCUUGAGAGAGGAAGCCCGGAGAUGGGGACUGAGACACGGCCCCAGGCCCUACGGGGCGCAGCAGGCGCGAAACCUCCGCAAUGCACGAAAGUGCGACGGGGGGAUCCCAAGUGCUCAUGCACAGCAUGGGCUUUUAUCAAGUGUAAACAGCUUGAGGAAUAAGGGCUGGGCAAGUUCGGUGCCAGCAGCCGCGGUAACACCGACGGCCCGAGUGGUGGCCACUUUUAUUGGGCCUAAAGCGUCCGUAGCCGGUCCAGUAAGUCCUUGUUUAAAUCCUGCGGCUUAACCGCAGGACUGGCAGGGAUACUGCUGGACUUGGGACCGGGAGAGGACAAGGGUACUUCAGGGGUAGCGGUGAAAUGUGUUGAUCCUUGAAGGACCACCUAUGGCGAAGGCACUUGUCUGGAACGGGUC
rnacentral:rRNA from 1 species